rnacentral:sRNA from 1 species
GCUACCUGUGAAUUAAACAUUUAUCAAACAAGAAUAUUUUGGCUGUGUAAUUCUGCAGGGCUCUAGUAUAAACACCUGGUCAAUCUGGACAGCGGAUCGAGCCCAUCGAGUUGGCAACGAAGAUCGAUGUUGUUCAAACGGAGGGACAAUCUCUGUGUACGAGACAUAGUAUUAAUCAAGGAGGACCGUUUGCAUUUAAAUGUAUUGCCCCUUAAUCAAAGCACACUGGGAUAUAGGCUAUGUCAAACUUGUGAUUUGGACAACAAUUCUCGAAACUAUUUUAUUCUAGGGUUGGUCAUGUUAACAAAACUGCUUCAAUGCUUCAUCAUUUUUAAAUUUUACGAUAUCUCAGGAGUGUGGAUCACAAAUUUCACAAUAUACUCAUUUUGAGUAUCGGGUAUAAAAAGAGAAUUAAUGCGUGCCGCAGCACAAUAAUAACAAACAUGUUCUAAGGCCGGAACAUAUUUCUUCUGGGAGCAGUACAAUUUGAAUAAAAUAGAAUACUUCGUUUAAAAUGGUUUAGGCCACCUCUC